rnacentral:piRNA from 1 species
UACGAUGGAGCCCAGUCUGUUUGGCCUUGC